rnacentral:rRNA from 1 species
UACGUAGGGUGCAAGCGUUAAUCGGAAUUACUGGGCGUAAAGCGUGCGCAGGCGGUUGUGUAAGUCUGUCGUGAAAUCCCUGGGCUCAACCUGGGAAUUGCGAUGGAGACUGCACGGCUAGAGUGUGUCAGAGGGGGGUAGAAUUCCACGUGUAGCAGUGAAAUGCGUAGAUAUGUGGAGGAACACCGAUGGCGAAGGCAGCCCCCUGGGAUAACACUGACGCUCAUGCACGAAAGCGUGGGGAGCAAACAGG